rnacentral:rRNA from 1 species
AACGCGAAGAACCUUACCUGGGUUCAAUCUCAUUUGCACCACCCGUAAUGGGGUGUACCCGCAAGGGACGGAUGAGACGGUGCUGCAUGGCUGUCGUCAGCUCGUGCCGUGAGGUGUUGGGUUAAGUCCCCUAACGAGCGCAACCCCCGAUGUCGGUUACCAAUCCGGCGUGACUGCCGCGCAGAACGCGGAGGAAGGUGGGGAUGACGUCAAGUCAGCACGGCCCUUACGCCCAGGGCGACACACACGCUACAAUGGCCGGUACAAUGAGUUGCAAGCCCGCGAGGGGGAGCUAAUCUAAAAAGCCGGUCUCAGUUCGGAUAGUAGGCUGCAACCCGCCUACUUGAAGUCGGAGUUGCUAGUAAACGGCGGUCGGCUA